rnacentral:rRNA from 1 species
UCAGGCCUAACACAUGCAAGUCGAACGGCAGCACGGGUGCUUGCACCUGGUGGAGAGUGGCGAACGGGUGAGUAAUACAUCGGAACGUACCUUAUCGUGGGGGAUAACGCAGCGAAAGCUGUGCUAAUACCGCAUACGCCCUGAGGGGGAAAGCGGGGGAUCGCAAGACCUCGCGCGAUUAGAGCGGCCGAUGCCUGAUUAGCUAGUUGGUGGGGUAAAAGCCCACCAAGGCGACGAUCAGUAGCUGGUCUGAGAGGACGAUCAGCCACACUGGGACUGAGACACGGCCCAGACUCCUACGGGAGGCAGCAGUGGGGAAUUUUGGACAAUGGGGGCAACCCUGAGCCAGCAAUGCCGCGUGAGUGAAGAAGGCCUUCGGGUUGUGAAGAUAGUUGUCAGGGAAGAAACACCGGCUCUAACACAGUCCGGGAAUG